CGGGCUAGAGCUCAGUGGUAGAGCGCAUGCUUAGCAUGCACAAGGUCCUGGGUUCAAUCCCCAGUGCCUCCA
rnacentral:tRNA from 1 species